UACAGAGGGUGCGAGCGUUAAUCGGAAUUACUGGGCGUAAAGCGUGCGCAGGCGGUCUUUUAAGUCAGAUGUGAAAUCCCCGGGCUUAACCUGGGAACUGCGUUUGAAACUGAAAGGCUAGAGUGUGGCAGAGGGGGGUGGAAUUCCACGUGUAGCAGUGAAAUGCGUAGAUAUGCGGAGGAACACCGAUGGCGAAGGCAGUCCCCUGGGCCUGUACUGACGCUCAUGCACGAAAGCGUGGGGAGCAAACAGG
rnacentral:rRNA from 1 species